GACGAACGCUGGCGGCGUGCCUAAUACAUGCAAGUUGAGCGCUGAAGGUUGGUACUUGUACCGACUGGAUGAGCAGCGAACGGGUGAGUAACGCGUGGGGAAUCUGCCUUUGAGCGGGGGACAACAUUUGGAAGCGAAUGCUAAUACCGCAUAAAAACUUUAAACACAAGUUUUAAGUUUGAAAGAUGCAAUUGCAUCACUCAAAGAUGAUCCCGCGUUGUAUUAGCUAGUUGGUGAGGUAAAGGCUCACCAAGGCGAUGAUACAUAGCCGACCUGAGAGGGUGAUCGGCCACAUUGGGACUGAGACACGGCCCAAACUCCUACGGGAGGCAGCAGUAGGGAAUCUUCGGCAAUAGACGAAAGUCUGACCGAGCAACGCCGCGUGAGUGAAGAAGGUUUUCGGAUCGUAAAACUCUGUUGGUAGAGAAGAACGUUGGUGAGAGUGGAAAGCUCAUCAAGUGACGGUAACUACCCAGAAAGGGACGGCUAACUACGUG
rnacentral:rRNA from 1 species